rnacentral:rRNA from 3 species
CCGAACUCAGAAGUGAAACGAAAUAGCGCCGAUGGUAGUGUGGGGUUUCCCCAUGUGAGAGUAGGACAUCGCCAGGC